rnacentral:lncRNA from 1 species
UUCCAGAAUCAAUAGAGGAAACCAAAGAAAGGAGACACGUGGUCUGAAAUUAAUACAGCUGGUGAAGUCAGACUUAAAGCAGGUUCAUUUAUUUACAGUUGACUUGAAUAACUGAAACAUGGAUUUUAUAAUUAGAAUGUCUUGGAAAAAGCAACCUAAUUUACAGGUGGACACAAAAAGGUAACGUGGGCUUUACUAGUUUUAGUAUUGAGUUGUAUUAUACCCUUGAUUUGGUAAU